rnacentral:misc_RNA from 1 species
UGAAUUCUCAAAGUAUAAUCUGCCACUGGCUUCAUAGCAUUUGGAGUUUAGCUCAUAGAGCCCUGUUUUCUCUCCUACUCAAAUUAUACAAGCAGAGCCAAAAGCUUUCAAGACUCUUGCCAGACAUCUCUCCCAAAAACUGAUGUUCAGUCACAAGGCUUAUUAGAGACAUAUUUUACAUGCUCUUAUAAUUUUCAGAACCUGUUACAACCUCCCUCUUUUAAGAGAAGAUGAGGAUGAGGACGAAGAAAACACAGAGUGCUCGGCCUUGUCCUUGUUAAAAGCCCUAUGAACAUCCUCUUUGAGCUCCAUGAAGCG